rnacentral:rRNA from 1 species
UACGUAGGGUGCAAGCGUUGUCCGGAAUUAUUGGGCGUAAAGAGCUCGUAGGCGGCUUGUCACGUCGACUGUGAAAACUCGAGGCUCAACCUCGAGAUGUCGGCGGAAACCACUUGGCUAGAGUCCGGAAGAGGAGAGUGGAAUUCCCGGUGUAGCGGUGAAAUGCGCAGAUAUCGGGAAGAACACCUAUGGCGAAGGCAGCUCUCUGGGACGGUACUGACGCUGAGGCACGAAAGCUAGGGGAGCAAACAGG